GACGAACGCUGGCGGCGUGCUUAACACAUGCAAGUCGAACGGAAAGGCCCUGCUUUUGCGGGGUGCUCGAGUGGCGAACGGGUGAGUAACACGUGAGUAACCUGCCCUUGACUUUGGGAUAACUUCAGGAAACUGGGGCUAAUACCGGAUAGGAGCUCCUGCUGCAUGGUGGGGGUUGGAAAGUUUCGGCGGUUGGGGGUGGACUCGCGGCUUAUCAGCUUGUUGGUGGGGUAGUGGCUUACCAAGGCUUUGACGGGUAGCCGGCCUGGGAGGGUGACCGGCCGCAUUGGGACUGAGAUACGGCCCAGACUCCUACGGGAGGCAGCAGUGGGGAAUAUUGCACAAUGGGCGGAAGCCUGAUGCAGCAACGCCGCGUGCGGGAUGACGGCCUUCGGGUUGUAAACCGAUUUCGCCUGUGACGAAGCGUGAGUGACGGUAAUGGGUAAAGAAGCACCGGCUAACUACGUG
rnacentral:rRNA from 1 species